rnacentral:rRNA from 1 species
UACGGGGGGGGCAAGCGUUGUCCGGAUUUACUGGGUGUAAAGGGCGUGUAGGCGGGAUAGCAAGUCAGAUGUGAAAUUCCGGGGCUUAACCCCGGCGCUGCAUCUGAAACUGUUAUUCUUGAGUGUCGGAGAGGAAAGUGGAAUUCCCAGUGUAGCGGUGAAAUGCGUAGAGAUUGGGAGGAACACCAGUGGCGAAGGCGGCUUUCUGGACGAUAACUGACGCUGAGGCGCGAAAGCGUGGGGAGCAAACAGG